GAGGGCAUAGCUCAAGUGGUAGAGCACAUGCUUAGCAUGCACAAGGUCCUGGGUUCAACUCCCGGUACCACCU
rnacentral:tRNA from 1 species